GAUGAACGCUGGCGGCGUGCCUAAUACAUGCAAGUCGAGCGAACGGACGAGAAGCUUGCUUCUCUGAUGUUAGCGGCGGACGGGUGAGUAACACGUGGAUAACCUACCUAUAAGACUGGGAUAACUUCGGGAAACCGGAGCUAAUACCGGAUAAUAUUUUGAACCGCAUGGUUCAAAAGUGAAAGACGGUCUUGCUGUCACUUAUAGAUGGAUCCGCGCUGCAUUAGCUAGUUGGUAAGGUAACGGCUUACCAAGGCAACGAUGCAUAGCCGACCUGAGAGGGAGAUCGGCCACACUGGAACUGAGACACGGUCCACACUCCUACGGGAGGCAGCAGUAGGGAAUCUUCCGCAAUGGGCGAAAGCCUGACGGAGCAACGCCGCGUGAGUGAUGAAGGUCUUCGGAUCGUAAAACUCUGUUAUUAGGGAAGUACAUAUGUGUAAGUAACUGUGCACAUCUUGACGGUACCUAAUCAGAAAGCCACGGCUAACUACGUG
rnacentral:rRNA from 1 species